rnacentral:rRNA from 1 species
UGCAGGUGGUCCCUGCUCGAUGGGCGUUUGCUUAAAUGGCCGCAGUACUCUGACUGUGCUAAGGUAGCAUAAUUGCUUGUCUGUUAAUUGCAGAAUUGUUUGAAUGGGGUUGAAUAGGGUAGUUGGUGAGGUUUGCUAUCAGAAGUUGCAGUCUCGGUUACGAUGCUGCGGGGUGUGGUUUGGGACGACAAGACCCUAAGAGCUUAGCUUUAGUUGGUAGGAGUUUCGAUGGGGUAUUGGGCUGUUGUGUAUAGUUUUUGAUUGAGUUGAAAGCUUCCUUAGGGAUAACAGGAAGAUAGUGCUUUGGAGUGCAUAUCGAAGGCAGCUGUUUUUUACCUCGAUGUUGGAUCGCAGUUAAAGUCGGAUGUAGAGGUUUGGUAUUUUAGUUUGUUCAGCUAUUGAAACUGCACGUGAUCUGAGUC